CUCAACCUUUUUCUAAAAUUUUAUUUUCAUAAAAGAGACUUAUUACUUAUUCAUGAAAUGCAUUUUUUCCACCAAAUAUAAGUAAAAAACCUACAAAUUCGAAUUUGGUACACAACAACAACGGUAAACUAUAAUUGGAUAAUCGAUGGCGCUGGCAUCGCAUGCUGGGUGAUAGGGGCCACGAUCUCUACAGUUUUUAUCACAGAAAGGGAAGCACUCUUCUCUUGAUUUGAAAUAUCUUAAACAAAAUCUUUCAGCGCCCAUACCUGCAAUCAUUGUAUAAUAUGAACUUCAUAGCAUUGAUAAAAAACAAUAAGAUAAACUUACAAUGAAAAUUGUAGGAGUAAACAAGAGUUGGAAGAUUAAAUCUUUUAUUAUCUUUCUAGAUACCAUGAAAGAAAAGGAGAACUCCAACAAUGAUUGCAAACACAAAUUUCAGCUGAGCCAUGGGAGUAUGUGCGUUAGUCAUUCUUGGUGUAGCCUUUUUUUUGGUAAUAUAUUUGAUUU
rnacentral:lncRNA from 1 species